rnacentral:sRNA from 1 species
UGAUAAACCGGAUUGAAGGGAAGAUCCUUUUUGCUGCCAUGAGCGGCGGGCAGGAGUGCAAAAAAGAUCGAAUCGGAAAGCCGGAGGAAAC